AGAGUUUGAUCAUGGCUCAGGACGAACGCUGGCGGCGUGCUUAACACAUGCAAGUCGAACGAUGAAGCCUUCGGGUGGAUUAGUGGCGAACGGGUGAGUAACACGUGGGCAAUCUGCCCUGCACUCUGGGACAAGCCCUGGAAACGGGGUCUAAUACCGGAUAGGACUCCGAGAUGCAUGUCUUGGGGUGGAAAGUUUUU
rnacentral:rRNA from 1 species